AGUAAAGGUAAAGCAGAGCUGCAGUCCUGACAAGUCUCUCAGUUUCUCUCUAAAUACACACUCGACUGAAUCCAGCAGCUUUCUCUCAACAACACAGCAGAAUCUCUGCCAAACACUGAGAGACAUGUCUGCUGCCAGCUGUCUGCUGACUGAAGAUCAGUUUAUGUGCUCCAUCUGUCUGAAUGUGUUCACUGAUCCAGUCAGCACACCAUGUGGACACAACUUCUGUAAAGCCUGCAUCACUCAACACUGGGAUAGAAAUAUCCCGAGUCAGUGUCCCAACUGUAAAAAGGUGUUCAACAUAAAGCCUGAGCUGCAGGUCAACACUUUCAUCUCUGAGAUGGCUGCUCAGUUCAGACAGUCAGCUCAACAGAAAGCCAGCAGCAGCAGCUCAGAGCAACAAGUUGUCAAACCAGGAGAAGUUCCCUGUGACGCCUGCACUGGAACCAGACUGAAGGCCCUGAAGUCCUGCCUGGUGUGUCUGGAGUCCUACUGUGAGACUCACCUGGCGCCUCACCUGACAAGAGCAGGCCUGAAGAAACAUCAGCUGAUCGACCCUGAGGAGAACCUGGAAAGCAGGAUGUGUGUGAAGCACGAUAAACCGCUGGAGCUGUUCUGUCAGACCGACCAGGUGUGUGUCUGCGUGCUCUGCACUGUUUUAGACCACAAGUUACAUGAUGUUGUUCCUCUGAAAGAAGGAUAUGAAGGAAAGAAGGCUGAGCUGGGGAAGACAGAGGCUGAAAUUCAGCAGAUGAUCCAGAAGAGACGACUGAAGAUCCAGGAGAUGAAUCGCUCAGUGGAGCUCAGUAAGGAAGGAGCAGACAGAGAGAUAGCAGAUGGUGUUCAGGUCUUCACCGCUCUGAAGGAGUCUGUUGAGAGAAGCCAGGCCGAGCUCAUCGACACCAUCAAAGAGAAGCAGAGAGAGACAGAGGAACAGGCUGAAGGCUUCAUCAAAGAGCUGGAACAGGAAAUCUCUGAGCUGAAGAAGAGGAGCUCUGAGGUGGAGCAGCUCUCACGCUCUGAAGACCAGCUCCACCUCCUCCAAAGCUUCACGUCCCUGAACGCUGCUCCACCCACCAAGAACUGGACAGAAGUCAGGGUCCGUCCACCUUCAUAUGAGGGGACUGUGAGGAGAGCUGUGACUCAGCUGGAGGAGACGCUCAGUAAACAGAAGAAGCUGCUUGAGGUGGAGCUGAAGAGGGUCCAGCAGUCUGAGGUGGAUGUGACUCUUGAUCCUGAUACAGCACAUCCUGAACUCAUCCUGUCUGAUGAUGGAAAACAAGUUAAAGACAGUGAUGUGAAGAAGAAUCUUCCAGACAAUCCAGAGAGAUUUGAUCAUUGUGCUCGUGUCUUAGCAAAGCAGAGUUUCUCUUCAGGAAGAUUUUAUUACGAGGUUCAGGUUGAAGGGAAGACUGGGUUGGUUCUAGGAGUGGCUAGAGAGUCGAUAAACAGAAAGGGAAAUAUCACAAUGACUCCUCAGAAAGGUUACUGGAUAAUAUGGCUGAUUAAAAAUGAGUACACAGCUUUUGCUGGUCCUGCAGUCCGUCUCUCUCUGAAGUCUCAGCCUGAGAAGGUGGGGGUGUUUGUGGAUUAUGAGGAGGGUCUGGUCUCCUUUUAUGAUGUUGAUGCUGCAGCUCUGAUCUACUCCUUCACUGGCUGCUGCUUCAAAGAGAAACUCUACCCUCAUUUCGGUCCAGGUCUUAAUUAUGGUGGUAAAAACUCUGCCCCUCUGAUCAUCUCUCCUGUCAAUCACACUGAGUAGAACAAACAUUUAAUGUUUUUUUUUCUUUCUUUGAUGCUGUUUGUUACAAUUACAGGCAUAUUUUUCAAAACAAAAUUGAUAUCAUGUAAGGUCUCAUUGAUUCUAAUGACUGCAUGACCUGCACCAAUGAACACGAAACAAUUACAUGUCCAUUAAUGUCUUGAGCGAAGGAAAUUAGUUUUUAUUGUAUACAUUCAUACAGAGCCCGAUCUGCUUAAAAAAACGCUUUUCGUAUAAUACCUCUCACUGCCUGAACAAUAGACACAGGCCAUCACUGCAAGUCUAACCAUAGGGUGUUAAAUAAUAACUCCAAUUAAAAUGUCAAGAGCCACUAAUUUGGUGAUAGCUAACUAGAAGGCCAACCUGUCGUGUUAGACACUACCACACUGUAUUAGGCAUUCAUAAUCAAUCUUAUUCUCAAUGCCACUGGUACAUGUAGUGCAAAAGGUGCAUCCACAAAAUGCGGUUCGAGAUAUUUUUACUUUUAUUUUUGUACAACUAAAGCCUUAAGAAAAGAGACGGUGUAGGAGCCAAAACGCUUAGUUAGCCUGUGUUUAUUGUUUUUAUUAGUAUCAUUAUUGUUUACAAAGAACGCAUUUGUUUUUGACCACUUCCAGUAGUUCUCCAGGGUGUGGUUUUAUGGUAUUCAGGUCACCUCUUGUAUGUCGGGGUUGGUGGAAAGACAAUGGGGUAGUUUUUCUUCCAUAAUGUUUUGUUGACCGUAUGGUCCAUCUUUAGUUAUGGUGUGUUUUAUUUCUUUAUUAAACAGAGCAAAGAGCUGAACUGUGA